rnacentral:lncRNA from 1 species
UUUUUUUUUUUUUUUUGACAGAAAGAACAAAAGAGUGAUGGUUUUCCCUUUGCUCUUUAUGGAGAUACAGUCUGUCUCCACCUCAAGGUCAGUGCACUGGCCUGUAGGUGACCUUGAAACUGUUCUCUGGUGGUUCCUCCCAAGUGCAUCCUGAUUCCUUUUUUUUGAACCCCAGCCUCUGACAGCCUCUGACAGCUCAGGACCCAGAGCCCAUGACAGGAGGCACUCCUGAGGGACACCGGUGCCAGGAGGUUGUGGCCUCACACUCAGCACCUCCUUGAUUGAAGGAGGUCCUGUGGCUUCUGUGGUCUGGGACGUGGUAGGCUCCAGCAAAACCGUCUUCCAGCGGGCAUUGUGGAGUCAGUCUUGUAUCAGUGAAUCAUUUAAAAUCCGUACACUUUAGCCUGACAAGUAUCCAUGUGGAUGCGGGUUUGAUCCCUGGCCUCGCUCAGUGGGUUAAGGAUCUGGCGUUGCCAUGAGCUGUGGUGUAGGUCACAGAUAUGGCUCAGAUCCAGCGUUGCUCUGCUGGCCUACACCACAGCCGCAGCAACACAGGAUCUGAGCCCUGUCUGGACCCACACCACAGCUUGGGGCAAUGCCGGAUCCCUAACCCACUGAGUGAGGCCAGGGCUCGAACCCAGUUCCUCAUGGGCCCCUCAGUGGGUUCCUUACCACUGAGCCAUGAUGGAAACUCCCUACUGUUUUUUUGAAUAAAAGCCAUCUCUUUGAUCACAGCAGCUCCUAAAUUGAAGACUUUUACGACUGUCCUUGUUUCUGCCCAUCUCCCAUCUGGGGUUGGGUGCCCCAGCACAGAGGAGAUUUGAGAGGGCCUCCUGGGCCCCUGGGGGACUCCUGCCUCUGGAGAGGACCCUGCCCCCCCCCCCCCCCCGGGAACUGUCUGUUUCUCAAGCCUUGUUUCUCAAAGUUUCAGCGGCGAAAGGCAGGGGAAGUGUAGAAAAACGAAUUUGCAUCCUUGUGACUGUGCCCUGGCCCUCGCCCUCUUGGAGGCAAAUGCAGAGUAGAACCAGAGGUGUGACUUUGGACGGUCCUCCAGCCCCUUCCCCCAGGGACCCCCCACCCCCAGAAUCAUGGCUGGGAACGUCGUGGGAAAGUGCUUCUCUCCAGCUAAACUGACCUUUGUCUCAGGACCUGGGGUAGUUAACACCCAAAGAAAAGGCACCUGAUCUUUUGUUUUUGACCGGUCAUGUUACAUGGGGCAAGAGGGAAGGUGUUUGAUUUCACCUUGGAACUUGUUCUCCUACCUGUUAUGGAGCAGCCACUCCGACAGGGAAGGUUGAAGGGCAACUGAGAGACACCUGCUGGUGUGCAGAGACCAGAAUGUUCCAUAGGUGCUCGCUCCAGAGAAAACCCAGCGGGUGCCCUGGUUCCCCCCACCCCCCUGGGUGCCUGGGAGUCCAGUCAUCCCCGGAAAGCACCCGAGUUUUCUUGCUGGUGGCCAGCUGGGUCCUUGAUCAACCCUUCUGGGCAAUCAUGGCAAUUUUUGUCAAGAGCCAUGCAGAUCUUUGUAAGCUUUGACCCAGUGACCCCACUUUGGGAACGCUCUCUCAGGGAAACAAUAGAAAAUCCGGACAAAAUGUUGUACGGAUGUGGUCAGCUCAGCUUUUUUGGCAAUAGCAAAAUAAAUUGGAGAUACCCAAAGCCUCUGACCAUAACCAAAGACCUGAAUCAUUUCUGCUGUAGCUGCUAAGGGGAAGGCCAGGGAGGCUGGGUGAAGCUGAGCAAAGGCAGUUGUUUAUUGGGGAAAAGGUGAGAGGGAAAUACACCCCGAAAUCAUGUCAGAGUUGUGGCCAGGGGACCAGAAUAUGGAUGUCUUUCUUUUCCCUUCUCUGGUUUAUACCUUUUCUGUGAUGUGGUUAUGGCACUUCUACUGGAAAAGGAAUUCUUUCCUUUCUUUUCUGCUAAGAAACCAAGUGCUCGGCUGUUUCCAGGGAAAGCAAGAAAACCAACGUUGAGCUCCCUUUCUGCAUGGCACUCGAGAAAACAGACCAGUUCCUAAAACGAAGGCCUAGGUCCCAGUGCUCCUUGGCCAGUUAAUAGGAAUAUAAGAGGACAGCUCGCAAAAUCCUCCAGUAUAAUAGCCGCCGUGGAUCAGACCCCCAGACCCGGGCAGAAGGCAUUAUUGUUGCCAUUUAUUAAUACUAAUAAUAAUGGGGUCAUGGGGGAGGGGGAGUCAGGGAGAAGUCACGUGACUCUCUCCACUCUCAGCGCUGUCUCCCAGAGCUGCUGAUGGGGUUCAGGGUGUUUAGAGACCCCAGUACCAGGACCUCUUUUCAAGUCAUUUGGAGAUUAUUUUCUGGGAAAGCUAAGGUGAGGGACAGCUACCAGGGCACAGCAGCAAAUUGUUUUCCAUGUGGGUGACGUUGUCUUUGUAAGUGGGAAGCAGACGUGUAGUCUGGUUUAGAUGGAGGGGGUACUGCCCUGGUGUGUGCUCAGUGGCAGAUCUGGAACCUUCUGUCCGCAGGUGGGCAUCUGAGCUUCCGUCACUUUGGGAGGGCAAAUUUCCAGACUGUCUCUGUGGUAUUUAAAAUGCUAUUGUCGGGAGGUCCCAUUGUGGCUCAGUGGUAACAAACCUGACUCCUAUCCGUGAGGUUGUGGGUUCGAUCCCUGGCCUCGCUCAGUGGGUUAAGGAUCCAGCACUGCCGUGAGCUGUGGUGUAGGCCGGCAGCUGAAGCUCCAAUUCAACCCCAGCCUGGGAACCUCCAUAUGCUGUGGGCGCGGCCCUAAAAAGACUAACUAACCAACUAAAUAAAAUGUUGUCUCUCAAGUCCUAUGUUUGUCCUGCAGCUCACUUGUCCCCUUUGCCUUCAUUUUGGAGCAGUUCUGAUUCAAAACUCCUCAACCAGUUUUUAAAAGGAGGCACAAAAAAGGGUGCCAGGGACUUUGGUGCCAAAGGUAGGUUUGAGGAAGAAGCGUAUGAAUUAAUUUUCAGCUUUAGGUGGAAAACUGAAUUUGCCGUAUUUUAUUCUUUUUUUGGCCACUCCUGCGGCAUGUGGAAGUUCCCGGGCCAGGGGUUGAACCUUUGCUGUAGCAGUGACCACACCAGAUCCCUAAUCCACUGAGCCACAAGGGAACUUCUGAAGUUGCAGGGGGAUGUGUUUGAACUUCUUUCUACACAGCCGUUUAUUUAUUUACUUGUCCUUUUUCUUUUUUCUUUCUUUUUUAGGGCUGCACCGUGGCAUAUGGAAACUCACAUCAGAGCUACAGCUGCUGGCCUACACCACAGCCACAGCAAUGCGGGAUCCGAGCCGUGUCCAUGACCUACACCACAGCUCAUGGCAAUGCCGGAUCCCUAACCUACUGAGCGAGGCCAGGAAUUGAACCUGUGUCCUCAUGGAUAGAUACUACUCAGGCUCGUUACCACUGAGCCCUGACGGGAACUCCAAAUAGCCAUUUAUUGAGGGUCAAGAAAAGCCCUUGUUUUCCUCAUUCCCGGUCUCCUCCGCUCUCCUGUUGGGCCUCAAGCCCGGGGCCCUCUGCUCCGAGGCACCUUCUGGAGGAAAUGACAGGCAGUUGUGCGGAAAGAUUGGAGCAGGGAAGCUCCAGCCACCUGCCGAGUCACACCUGCUCCCCCCACCUGCCCCCACAGGGUCCGGGGAGGGAAGUGCAGCCCAGAACAGAGUGGGAAAGCUGCUGGCGAGAGAGGUUUCUGCCUGGGCACAUUAUCUCAUUUAAUCUCCCUCGCCCUCUGCGGGGACGUGUCAUUGUCGUCAAGUGUGGCUCAGGUGUCAAGCAGUUUCAGUAAAAGGUUUCAGCUGCUCCCCAGCCAGGAAACCUUGCCUCUGCUGGGUGUGUGUGACCAGCCCUGCCAGCUGCUCCACGUCCCCUUGCUCCUCUCUGGAGGAGGGGUCAUGAAGCAUCCUUAUAGGAGGGGGACGUCGGGGAAAGGCCUGUCGCCUCCGUGGUCCCUCUGCCUUCCCCGAGGGGUGUGGCUGCGGCCUGGGUGGCAGGGGUCUGUUCUAGGUCUUCCUCCCUGGCCCCCACGCCUCUCUCAGAGCCUGAGACAAGCCCUCUGUUGGAGAAGAGUUGAGAACUAACUCUAGGAACAGGCAUCCAUGGGUAGAUGAGCUGGGAGGAGGCGCUGGCCUGGUUCGAGCCCAGCUGAGUGUUGUCAGCGCUGAAGUAGCCAUGAGCUUCCUGGCGCUCUGUUCUGCUUCACGGUGACAAACACUAUGUCUUGAAACUUAAGAGAAAAAAGAAAAAAAAAAAAGGAAGAGAAAAAAAGUCAGAAAGGGGCUUCUAUGACAGAACGUAAAGUCUAAUGACAACACCUUACAUCCGUAGAGUGCUGUGUGUUUAUGCUGUGGCCUUAUUCCAGUAAACAUCCCCAAGCCCCGGGCUUGGCUUCUCUCUCUUUGAGGUCUGUAGGUCAAGCUCACAGCAGGCCUUGCUCUGAGAGUGCUUGGAGAAUGAAUGCGCAAUUUUUCUUUCUUUUUUUUUUUUUUCUUUUUUCCGAAAAUUGAAGCCCAGAGAGGUUGAGCGAUUUGCUUUAAGGCUGCACAGCCAGCGAGGGCCGGAGUUGGGACUUAGUCCUGGCUCUUCUUCAAGUUCCCUUGGUGGCCUCCUCGCAGAUGCACAUCAGGCUGGCAGAGGAAUUCAGAUGCCAAGAGACACCCCUGUUGAAUGACCAGGGCGUUUACUGAGACCUCAUUCCCCCUUUAUUCUGAAGGCUGGUAUCCUUGUCGUCUCGGUCAGCCUGCUCUUGGGGCCACAUGCACUGUCCUCCCUAACCCCCUGCCUGCUGAAGCAUUUUCUCCUUUGUAUGACACUCUUGAGUCUCCUCCAAAGCU